GCAACGCCACGCGUGUUCGUUCAACCUUCAUCGCGUCGCUCCCUUCACCAUGGUGAAAUCGAAUCGUACCUCUCUGUUCGAAUUCACCUUCAUACCGAAUCGAAACCUUCACCAUGAUUUCAGAGCCAAUACCAUGGCGGCGUGCUCCCCAAAUCUUCACCUCCGGAACUCACCAAUCACCUUCACCAAACCGAAAUCCACAUCAGCAUACAAACACGCAGCCGAGAGUUUAACGCCUUUAAAUCUCGCGUAGUAGCUUUGAAAUCAGAAAGAAGAGAAACGAAGAACCAAACUUCAAGGUCCAAUCAAUCUCAUCGAUGUUCCAUUUGGUCUUAUCAUGUACGCGCGGAAAAGACAAGAGCGGAAUCAGAGUCGAGAGAACUUACCGGAUUAAUGUCUUAACCGUGAACAGCUUGCGGUUGUUGUUCUAUGAAUUGGAGGACUUAGUUGCAGGAUGGAAAAAACCAAAUGCCGAGUUCAGUUCUUGUUACAGAAUCCAGUGGAAUUCAUUUGCAGGAUCGAAUUACAGAGUUGAGAUGCAAGGUCUAGUUGCAUAAUUGUGUUGCAUCAUUUGAAGCUUGAUGUAUUCUGUGAAAAAACGUGAAUCUGAAUUCGGUGAAGAAUUCUGAGUUUUUACUUAAUUAAGGGUGUAGAGGUUGAAGAAGAAGAUUAGAAGAUUGGGGAAGAACAAAGCCGAAAGGGAUCGAAGAAUUCUAACAAAAAUGGAAGAGCACGGGAUCAUGAACAAAUUGGAGGAAUGUAGUUUGAAGAUUCAAACCCUAAUUCGGCUCCCUUCACGUCAACAGAAUGGACUCAAGGCCCAGAACUUCAACCGAUAUCAAGAACCACAUGGACUCAAGGCCCAGAACUUCAACAGAUAUCAAGAACCACAUGGAAAUGAGGCUAGCAAUUCACACAAGCAAUGGAAUGAAAACAUGACGCCAUGAGUUACGAUAAAUUGAAGCAACUUACCAGAAUGAAGCGACGCGGAGGUUCUGGUGUCGUUGAUGCCGUUCACAGAUGACUUUCUUUGUGUGCUUUCUACAAUUUCUUCUUCUUUCUUCUUCUUCUGAAUUCGUGAGCGGUGAAAAGAGACUGCUCUGAAAGAGAAAUAGAGCUCUGGUGAGGGUGAGGGAGGAGGUUGCAAGAGAGAGUGUGCUGGUUCAAGCCAAAAAAUGCCAAGUCUCAAAGUGUGAGUGAUGAAUCUCUUAAAUACAGCUGAGGUUCGGAAUUUUCUAGCUUUGGAUUUAGGUAUGGAAUUAGUUAAACAUGGUUCGGGAGUUAGUUAAACUCAACUCACUGAGUUAAAUGAAAAACUCAGUUAGUUAGAAACGACUCAGUUAGUUAUUUGAGUUGAUGUUGGUUAGUGAGUGAGUUAAAACUUGACUGGCUGCUGCAGGUUACCGUUAGAUUGAGGUUAUAUUGGAAUGGUUUUUAAUGACCUGCUGUUUAUGUUGCAGGUUAGUGACUUUGGGUUUGGACUUAUGAAUGGCUUUGGAAUUUUUUAAUCAAGUGAGUUGGCUGCUAUUCCUGAGCUUCCUGUGACCGUUGUGGGUGCAGUACUCACAGUUACAACAGUGCUUGGUGCAACUCCUGUGGUGUUUGAAGUAACUACCGAAUUGGAAACAGGGGUACUCGAUAAACCAAAAACCAACCGUUGAUGAUCAGUGGCUAUAAUUGGUGUAAUAGAAGAUGGGCUUGAAGCAAGACCGUUAGAUGUCAAAGUGUUGGAAUUAGCUGCAUUAGCUGGUGUUGGUGUUGCAGCAGAGGAGGCAGCAACAUUGGAUGUAUCACUUGCAUUUUCAUUACAAUACAUUUGAAAAAAGCUUUUAGGUUAUUUGAUGGAACUUGCAGCCAUUAUGCCAUUGCACCUUCAAAAGCCUCCAUAUGCAUCCACUUUCCAUGGCAACAAUAGUCUUCGGCUUGCAAAAUUCAUGGCAGCAACAACCAUUCUUGACAAUGUCAGAACAUGCCAAGAUCACCAUACUAGCAGAAUUGCCACCACCCUGUAUUGGCAAAGAAAAACGAGUCAUCUGCCGGCAUGACAUUUUUUUCUGCAUGUAUGCUUUCCACUUAAGAAGGGGAGCCUCACUGCAAUUCUGAGGGGAUUGCUGCAUUCUCCACUUCUCCAUUCUACAUCCAGUGUUUCCUUCAUUCUACAACAAGAUAGCGAUUCAGCAACACAAACUAGCGACUCAGCAACACAAGCUAGCAAUUCUGCAACAUAAACUCGCAACUCUGUUUUGAUUCGAUGAGUAUUCAUCAUCUGCUUCCAGUUUCUUUUCUAACUAUGCGUGCUUUCUUGUUUUUGCGAUUGGAGGUUGAACUCAUCUUGAACCCGCCGCUCCACCGUUGCUUCUCCGUGAGACAUAGGACUCUGAAAGCGGCACUACAAUGAGGACGCGAAUCCUCGAUGUUUACCGUGAAGGAUUCAAAGUACGGUGUCCUGGGAUGACCGUGACCGCGAGACCCGCUCGAAGUCGUUGCAAUGGUGUUCGUCAGCUCAGUUUUGUGCAGCUUGCUAGGAGGCAUUGUGAAGAAGCUGAUGUUCGUCCGUUUCUGUUAGAGUGAAUCCAAUGAAAGUGAAAAAUUAAUUAAUUGAUGGAAUGUUAGUUAUUAAGUUAGUUAGAACUGGCACCUUGAGAAGGAGUUUUGUUAGCUGAGUUAUAUUAACUUCAAAUAUUUGCCAUGAUCGCCUGGUUUUGACAACAGCGCAAAUUAUUAGAUGAUGAAGAGUUAGAUAUGUUGGAUUUGGAUGGUUAACGGGAUGGACUGAAGUGAUUUGGUUUGAGUCGGAUAUGGUCUGCUGUAGGCCGCGUCUCGGUUAUAGCAGAACCGCGUGCUGGUAGAAGUAUUACCUUUCUGCAGUUGUAUCUGCAGCAACAUGGCACUUUGCAGCAUGGCAAUUCUGCAGCAACAUGAUUUAUGCGACAGGUCACUUUGCAACAGCAUGACCACUGUUGCAUUUGGAAUGCUGCAGCGGUUUGGGUUGCAGCGGAGUUAGUAAUUCGGUCGUUGAUUAAUGGCUUCGACACAAUCGUACUCUUAUAUUGAGCCACAAACUCCUAAAGCGGCAAUAACUUAAGCUGGUAACCACCGUUGUAUCUUGCAUUCCGUCGAACCAAGAAGCAGAACCAACAUGAUGUUGUCUCUAUGGGAACAAAGGGAAAGGCUAAUCUGAUGCGUUUCGUACCCGUCACGGCUUAGUUGCUCACGUUGUAUCUUAAAUAUAAAUGAAAGUGGGAUUGUGGCUGUAGUUGUAGCUUUUGAAUUUUAAUGUGUGAUUUGUUUUUGAGUUGAAUGGAUGGUUGUACUUGUGGAUGGGGUUAUGAUAGAAACUUUGGAUGAUAUUUGGUUAAUUGAAAAAAUGGAUUUUUACAUGGA